UACAGAGACUGCAAGCGUUGCUCGGAAUUAUUGGGCGUAAAGGGUAGGUAGGUGGUCUCAUUUGUCUGGGGUGAAAGCCUUGAGCUUAACUCAAGAAGUGCCCCGGAAACGGUGAGACUGGAGUCCUGGAGAGGGUCGUGGAAUUCCCGGUGUAGCGGUGAAAUGCGUAGAUAUCGGAAGGAACACCUGUGGCGAAAGCGGCUCACUGGACCAUUACUGACACUGAGGCACGAAAGCUAGGGGAGCAAACAGG
rnacentral:rRNA from 1 species